AAACUGUGAUGAGGGCACUUUCUCAAAAGUCCUGAAUCUUUCCCAAGCUUCAUACAAGCUUCUUGUAUCAUGGUGGCAAAUGUCAUUAUCUCAUUGCCGCAGUUU